rnacentral:misc_RNA from 1 species
UUAACUAUUAUAUAGUACUCAGACAUCACUAACAAACGAGUUUGGGUCCUCUGGCAGGCGCAGUCAGCCGGAGCCAACGCCCUAAGGGGCGGCCUGCCAAAGCAACAAAGGUAUGUAUACACGGUUUGGAAUUACCCAUUUCAAAAAACGGGGCGUUCUUUAAUGAUCCUUCCGCAGGUUCACCUACGGAAA